rnacentral:rRNA from 1 species
AGCAGUCGCCGCGGUAAUACGAAGGGUGCAAGCGUUAAUCGGAAUUACUGGGCGUAAAGCGUGCGCAGGCGGUUUGUUAAGACAGAUGUGAAGUCCCCGGGCUCAACCUGGGAACUGCAUUUGUGACUGGCAAGCUAGAGUGUGGCAGAGGGGGGUGGAAUUCCGCGUGUAGCAGUGAAGCGCGUAGAUAUGCGGAGGAACACCGAUGGCGAAGGCAGCCCCCUGGGCCAACACCGACGCUCAUGCACGAAAGCGUGGGGAGCAAACAGGAUUAGAUACCCCCGUAGUCCCUGUCUCUUAUAC